GGGAACAUGCCUUUCGGUAAGGAACAACGCCUGGAAACGGGUGCUAAUACCUUAUACGCCCUCAGGGGGAAAGAUUUAUCGCCGAGAGAUUGGCCCGCGUUAGAUUAGCUAGUUGGUGAGGUAAUGGCUCACCAAGGCUACGAUCUAUAGCUGGUUUGAGAGGAUGAUCAGCCACACUGGGACUGAGACACGGCCCAGACUCCUACGGGAGGCAGCAGUGGGGAAUAUUGGACAAUGGGGGCAACCCUGAUCCAGCGAUGCCGCGUGAGUGAUGAAGGCCUUAGGGUUGUAAAACUCUUUCAGGUGGGAAGAUAAUGACGGUACCACCAGAAGAAGCUCCGGCUAACUCCGUGCCAGCAGCCGCGGUAAUACGGAGGGAGCUAGCGUUGUUCGGAAUUACUGGGCGUAAAGCGCGCGUAGGCGGCUUANCAAGUUGGGGGUGAAAUCCCGGGGCUUAACCUCGGAACUGCCUCCAAAACUGCUGAGCUAGAAUCCUGGAGAGGUGAGCGGAAUUCCUAG
rnacentral:rRNA from 1 species